ACUACUUUUAUUCCCUCCCCCUCUCAUGAUGAAAGAAUAAAUAGAUGUCUAGGAUAGAAUCUAGAGUAACCAUAAAAUGAAAGUAGUCUAAACAAUAUCUUGUUUUAACUUGUCAAAGUAAACCAGAAACUUUGAUUGACCAAAACUAAGUCAUAACGAACUCGGAUUGAGUUGAACCAAAAAGAGAAAGUGUUCGUCUUGACGUCAUGUAUCUACCCUCAAAAUUUCACAGCGAUCGGAGUAGUUUUGACCAUCAAAACAUUGCCUAGAGUAAGCUGGUCUCUAUUUGGACGAAAAUUCAUAUAGCAUUACUUAAUACUUCCUUUGAUUGUCAACUCAUCACCCACUUCUCCUAAUUUGUGCACUAUCUCCCUAGUGGCCAAGCCAUCAUGAAUGAGAGAGAAAGGGUUGGCUUAAAUUUCAUUUUCUUUAAUGAUAAUGCAAAUGCACUACCUUAGUGAUGAUGAAACUCACUUGCAUUGGAUGCACCAAUUCUCAUCCAUUGGAUCAAAACCUAUCUACUUGAUCCUAACCAUUCAUUCUCCUAUAAAUAAGCAUGCAAGGCUCCUUGUUUUCCACACAAAUCCUAGACAACUCUCUUGAAAGCUUUGUGCUUUGGUUUUCUCUCCCUUUUCUCUCCAUCUACCACACCACCACUUUGGUGUUCUUGAAGUCAUUUUUCUGUCCAAAUCAAAUUGUUGCUGAUGCAGAUCUGGAAGACGAAGGCAUGGACUCAUAUGCCUGUUUUAAUGGUUUUUGAAACUAUUGCUGUAGCUAUAUGUGCUAGCUUAGAAAUUGCUAGGCAUAUUUAUAUGUGUUUUAUUUCAAGGCCUGUAAUAAUUAUGACGAUGUUUUGUUUGGUAUAUUUUUUUAUAUGUGCCGUUUGUGGCACUUAUUUUAAUGCACCUAGUGUGUAAAUGGCGUGUAAAGAUAAACCUAAGUAACUUUUUAUAAACGUAUCGAGGUAUUUCAGUCA